rnacentral:lncRNA from 7 species
ACACUCCCUCUCAAGAUUAAAGCAGAAUCCCACCGGACUCAGUAAUACAGCAUAGGUGUAGGAGCUGUUUACAUGCCAGUCCUUUAACCACUUGCCUGCUUAAGGUGAAAACAGGCUCCAGCUUAUUUCCCCUUGCUUUGCCUGCCAGAGUCAGGGUGAUUUACUAGAAUGAAUAAUGCAAGAGCAAAGGAGCAAAAUCUAAGGGUUAAUACUAAACUAUGAUUAAGAUUUCUUCAUCAUCUGCAGAUUUAUCUCACUUCUGCAGUGACCUGGCAAAUGAGUGCUGUAUUGCUGACUGGGAACAGAGCUGGCUGAAUGGGGUGAGAAUAAAACCCUUUCUGUGGAAAGUUCCCUGAAUUUAAAACAACAGAUGCAGAGCCCUCAGCUGGUGUAAAAGGGUUUAGUUCCACCGAUGUCAAUACCUGAGUCAAUAAGCUGCUAGAGGAACUAGCCUGCACUUCACGCCUCUUUUGGAAGAUUAAUUCAUGCAGCCUCACUUUUGCUCAAACAGGCAUUUAAAAACAAUGAAUUUGAAGAUUUUAAGCACAGGUCCAAGCUCCUAUCUCUGACUGCUUGACAUUCAGAAAUUUGGUUUAAAGCAAUUACCUGAAAACGUGUUGCUGUUGAUGGAAGAAAAGCGUCAGAGGUAGGAAAUCCCAUUAGAGAAUGGAGAAGACAGCAGUAUCCUACAGUGACCCGUCACAGUGCCUGGGCUGCUCUUUCCGUGGGGCAGCAGAGGGGCAGCAGGCACACCUUCAGGACUCCAUUAGUCAACAAAACAGCUCACAAACGAAUAAUUCCAUCCCUGUCACUAACACUUUUUUGUUUGCUUUUUUUGCCGUUUGCCAUCUCCAUGAUUUGCAAAAACUGUUGAAAAUGUGCAGUAGCUAAUUUCCCUCUGCAACGAUUGCUUCUGUUUCACUCAAAAAUAAGACCCUAAAGCAGGCAGUGGAAGCAGUUCAGUUCAUCACCAUUUUUCUGAGGAUGCCAGUUAGACUACCGGUCCCCUCCAGAUCCCUUUUCACUGAGGUGAUAGAAGUAGUGAGUGUGCUGUGAAGUAUUAGGUCACAGCAGUAGAAGAGCUCAUACCUACAGCUGGGAACUAAGUUUUUUGAACAGCACAUCUCUAUUAAAACAAUAGGAACUGCAGGAGACUGGAAACAAUUGAAAACCUGACCCUUUCAUUCUGGUACUUAAAGGGGAGCUUCUGGCUGGUAGCGUAUUUUAAGACUUGAGUCCCACAACUGAGAAAUUAAAAGCCUCUUUGACAUAUGAGUGAACCAAAUGAGACCAGGAGAUUUCUGAGAAAAUUAUACUGCUCAACCUUGGUGCCUUCCAUCCAAGGUUUUCAAAACCAUAUAUAAAAAUUAACAAAACAGCACGCCUGGGAGGCUUAUGCUUGGAUUUUCAGAGGACCUGAACAGCGGGAAGAGCAGCAGUGCUCCGGUCAGCGGGCUGCUUCAAGCUAUCAGUGAGACUCUUUCAGUCCUGAGGAAGCACUCAAGUGCCAGACAACUGGUCUAUUUUUUGCCAUUGUCUCAGGUGAUCAAAUAACAGCAAGGACCUUAGGAAAACCCAUUGUAAAAGAAGGGAAACUACGAACCUGGAUUUUCCUAGGCAGAGCCAUCUGACUAACUGCUGCUCCCAAAAGCUGAGGUGAAAGCCAGCAUCUUCGGUUGGGAUCUCACCAUCCCAACAGAGCCUCGAUGAUGUGAAGACUGAACACCUUCUGCACGCAUUGUGGGUACUCUGGAUGCCAUGGCACGCUGGCAUCAUUUCAGAAGCACAUUGUGGAGAGGGUUUUUCUCAUUUCUUUUCUUCAGUCUCAAAGAGGAGAAGAAAAAAUGCAGAGCCAGGAUUUUAGCCCUUCAUUUUGUAAUGUAAUUGAAAUGCCAAGAGUCUGAAAAAAUUCAGUGUUGAUGAAGAAACGGAUGUUAGUGCAAUGAAGAAUAGCUCUGUCUUUGUCAGUCUGCAGUCUUUUAUGUGUCACAGGCUGUCACUUUCUAUUGCAUUUCAACUGACUAAUUACCCCAGUUUAUUAAAAGUGAAUAUGAAU